GCCCGUCGCUCCUACCGAUUGGAUGACUCGGUGAAAUCACCGGAUGCUUACGAGCAGAAAGUGAUUAAAUCACGUUAUCUAGAGGAAGGAGAAGUCGUAACAAGGUAACGGUAGGUGAACCUGCCGUUGGAUCAGUUCUAGUUUUAAUAACUAACACCAACUUCUUUUAUUAAACAAAAACCAAUACAAAAUUAAAAACUAACUUCAUCAAAAACCAAGUCUCUAAGCAAUGGAUGUCUUGGCUCCUCACACGAUGAAGAACGUGGCAUAAUGUGUUAAGUAACCG
rnacentral:rRNA from 1 species